AGGCAGCCGCCAACUCCUCUCAACUUCUGCCGAUCCGCUGGGCGAAGCAACACGCUUCCUGCGCGUCUCUCCUAGGGGCUGAGCCGGGCAUCUUCUCAGAGACAAAAGAUUCUGAGAGACAUCUAAUCCCCUACCAAAAGUGUCUCGGUGUUUGUGCAAUCAAAGGAAAUCAGAAAAGAAACGAUUCUCACCGCUCUGUGGUCCAAUCCUCUCAUUUUACAAAUAAGGACCCCAAGAUUGGACAGAGGAGGACAUUUGUCCAUGGUCCAUCAGCAAGCCGAGGACCCAGCUCCCCAGCCUCCUGACUUUCAGUCCGACACUCUGCCCCCACCCGGCACUGCUUCUGCUUGUGCAUCCCUUCUGUGACUAACCAGGGAGGAGGGGAGCUGAAACAAGCUCCCACCGGAAUAGGCUGCUGCCUGUGCGUGAUUAUGUUGCUAUGAGAACCUCAGUGGGUGUGUUUCCUCCUUUCGCUGUUGAAAUCUUUUGCUUUGCUUGGCUUCUCCCCAAGCACAGACACGUCUCCCUUUGGAAUGGGGAGUGGAGAGGCUAAGAUGAAGAGCUAUAUUCUCAUGGCAAGAGUUUUCUAUCCCAACCCAUCCAACCCAGAGCCAGCCUGGGACUGGGAGUGAGGAGCCUAUGCCACUAGGGUGGUUCCAUAAAGGCUGGAGUCCAGGAAGGAACUGUUUUGAAAGUGGAUACUCUAGCCCCCUGGCGAGCUGUCUUAGAACAAAGAGGUGCUGUUCCUGCUAUGUAAUCACCUAAGAACAAAGUCACAAGCAAGCUAAUUAUCACUUUAAGAGACUAAGUUUGGGGUGAUUUGUAAUACACCAAGAGAUGACCUGAACCUUCACUUUUUAUGAUGCUGAAAAGUUCCCAGCACAGAGUAGGUACUUUGUAGAACCCUUUUCUCAGCAUCCCCACCAUUCAUGUGAAUUCAGUCUUUCUCCAUCUCUUCUGCAAAAAUACAUUAGCGUAGUCUUUUACCAGGUUCAUUAGUUUAGUCAUGCCACAAACAAUUUACUAGGCAUCUCUUAAAUGCCUAGCUCAUUAAUAGGCACUAGACUUAACGAGAGGCAACAAAACAUAUUGAAUUGACCAUUGAUGAGCUCUUAAUUUAGUCAUGUUGGAUACUUUUAAGGGUACACAUCUUCUGUAGAACUCUUAAGGAGAUUUUCAUGGGAGGCAAGAAAACACGUGGGAUGAUAAGGGGUUCAGAGAGUUCACUAGGGUAUGAGUUAAACGGGUAGUUUGAAACAAUAGACCCUAUCAGGUAAAGAGGUUCUGAAGACGCAUUUUAUUUACGUAAUUUUUCUUAUACGAGAUCUUCAACGCAACAAAAAUAAAGUGCAUAGAACAAUGCCUAUCUUAUGGCAAGUGCACAAAUAUUAUGUCAACAUUCGCUAGGCCCUGUCCUAGGCACAUGAGUUAAAUUUUAUAUAACACUUACUAAAUUUUAUAGAACACUUACUAUAUGCCAGAGACUAUUCUUGACCUACAUGUAUUCUCAUGUAGCUGGUUCAACAGCUCUUUGAGGUAGAUACUAUUAUCCCCAUAUAACAGAUGAGAAAACAAAAACACAAGAAAUUGCCCAAGUGGUAGAGGCAAGAUUCAAAUCUAGGAUUCUUGAUUCCAUAGCAUAAACCCCAAGAAGUUGACCAGGUUCAGGGAGCAAGACAGUGGUUCUCAACCUUGGCUAUACAGUGGAAUCAUCUGGAGAGCUUUAAAAAUACCAGUGCUUUGGUUCUACCCCCAGAGAGUAUGAUUUAGUGAGGUUUGGGCAUCAGGAUUCUUUAAGUCUCUAAUUCUAAGGGACAGUGAUGAUUGGAGGACAACUGGACAAGAACAUCUGUUGACAAAAAGACCUACAGAGGAAGAAGAUCUCUAAGUUACAGAAGAUCCAAAACAAGAACCCCACACUGUAAAGAGGUCUAUCUCUAACUCAGAGGUUCUUCAGAGCCCUGGACUGGAGGAAAGCUGUGUUGGUGGUUGAGAUGAGACUCUUGGGGAGGGUUACAAUUAGAAAGGUUAUCCAGCUUUGUGAGAUGCUGCAGAAGUGAGUUUCCUAUUACUGGAAAGGCUCAGAUUAAUUGUGGGCAUAGAUGAUGUAGAGGCCCCACAAACACCAGAACCAGAAGGUUGAGCAAGCCCUCUGAAUUUCCACCUGCCUUGUGUUGGGACUCUGCUUUUCUGUCUCUUGCCAACUCUGAGCCCUUGCUGGAACCCCAGAAGGUGAAGAUUGUACCAUACUUCAUCUCUAGGGACCAACCAACCCUUCCUUUUGCUGUUGCCCAAAAUUAAAGGCCCCUAGAAUCAGGAAGCAGCAUUCCUAACCUGCGGACCAUGCUGCCUGGGAAAUCUCAGGCUCUAGCUUGUUCCAAUGGUGGUUGCUGCUAAAAGGGGGGAUGUAUUAUGUGGUUUUCUCCUCCUCCUCCCAGGGGACCUCACACAUGGCCAGGGUUCACAUAUGGCCACGGCACACUGCAGUGAAUCCAUGGCUCCUCAAGAAUCAGGCCACAGCCGUGAUCCAUCACCACCUCAUGGCAGCUAACCCAGCAGUGUUCUUAGUGUCUUCCACACCAGAUGGGAGCCACACCAAGGCUGCAGCAGCCAGCUACCUGGCUGAACCUCCAGGCAGCCCCACACCUGGGCCGUUCUCCUACACAAAAGCCUCUGUGGUCCUAUUCCUCCCUAACCCAAGGCCCAAUAUUCCAAAGAACAACUUGCUGAGUGCCACCAGUACCUGCAAAGCAAUUUGAGGUGGGAUUUUUUUUGUGUGCCAGAACCAGAAUGUUAUUUCUUCCUUGCUCUGAUAAUGUCUGAUUAAAUCAAUUCACUGUGG